GACGAACGCUGGCGGCGUGCCUAAUACAUGCAAGUCGAACGCAGUGGGGACGGGCGAGGAACACGUGGGUAACCUCCCAUCAGAGGGGAAAACACAUGGAAACAGGUGCUAAACCGAUACUGAUGGAUGAACCCGGGGUGCAUUAGCUAGUUGGUUGGGGAACGGCUCACCAAGGCCACGAUGCAUAGCCGCCCGUAGAGGGUGAUCGGCCACACUGGGACUGAGACACGGCCCAGACUCCUACGGGAGGCAGCAGUAGGGAAUCUUCGGCAAUGGGCUAAAGUCUGACCGAGCACCGGCGCUGGAGUGAAGAAGGUUUUCGGGUCGUAAAACUCUGUUGUUAGAGAAGCGGUAUCUACCCAGAAAGCCACGGCUGACUACGUGCCAGCAGCCGCGGUAAUUC
rnacentral:rRNA from 1 species